rnacentral:ncRNA from 2 species
CUGUUGUCGCGCAUCUUCGGUGCCCUUCGUCGGAAGGGUGAAACGGGAAUGCGGUGAGGCGAGUGAUCGCCCAAUCCGCGGCUGCCCCCGCAACUGUAAGCGGAUUGUCUUCGGUCACAUGCGCCACUGAGUUCGGCACCAGCCGCUCGGGAAGGCGAUCAGGACAACAUCCGCAAGCCAGGAGACCGGCCGAAGACCGUAGCAACGC